UACGAAGGGGGCUAGCGUUGCUCGGAAUCACUGGGCGUAAAGCGCACGUAGGCGGCUCUUUAAGUCAGGGGUGAAAUCCUGGAGCUCAACUCCAGAACUGCCUUUGAUACUGGAGAGCUUGAGUCCGGAAGAGGUGAGUGGAACUCCGAGUGUAGAGGUGAAAUUCGUAGAUAUUCGCAAGAACACCAGUGGCGAAGGCGGCUCACUGGCCCGGUACUGACGCUGAGGUGCGAAAGCGUGGGGAGCAACAGGG
rnacentral:rRNA from 1 species